UACGGGGGAGCAAGCGUUGUUCGGAUUUACUGGGCGUAAAGGGCGCGUAGGCGGCCACCGCAAGUCGACUGUGAAAUCUCCGGGCUUAACCCGGAAAGGUCAGCCGAUACUGCGGGCUAGAGUGCAGAAGGGCAACUGGAAUUCUCGGUGUAGCGGUGAAAUGCGUAGAUAUCGAGAGGAACACCUGCGGCGAAGGCGGGUUGCUGGGCUGACACUGACGCUGAUGCGCGAAAGCUAGGGAGCGAACAGG
rnacentral:rRNA from 1 species